UCAGAAACAAUUAGCUGAGAGGAAGGGACCUCAGAAAAGAGUCACGAUGAUAACAGACUAGCGGAUGCUAGAGGCCAGUGGGGGAGGGGACAGGGAGGAAGAAAAGGUGGCCUGGGCAUGGUGGCACAAAUCUAUCAUGUAUACGAACCUGUUCCACAAGAGAAAGGACUGUGCUACUCAAAGUGCCUCCAGGAUCGUCCUCAUUACACCAUGGAUUCUGGGUGUUACAAGGUCUUUGUCUUUUGGCCAGAUACGGAGUCUGCAUUUCUGUUUCUCAGAAACUCAUUGGCUUUCCAAAUGUGGCUCUGACCAACUAACGGGCAAGUGCUCCAAGAGGAAAGUAGACACCCGUGAAUACCUUCCAACGAGACGAUCUUGAGAUGUGUGCUGAGACUGGAGCAUCAAGGACCUCUUCCUCAUCAGAAGGACUUGGGACUCACCAGCAAGAAUCAGCAUCACAGAGCGGCCUCCAAAUAGCUCUCCAACGUACGCCUGGUUCUCCUGCAGUUCUGAGACCCUUCAGAUGAAGCUCACAGUGUUCCUGAGUCAUGGGACUCUGCCUCACUCUGGAUGGGCAGAACAAAGGAAAGCAAUGACCGACAAAGUGAUCUGGGUAGCUCGAUGAUGCUCCCAGCAUGAGGUACAGACUCUGCGUUUCCGUUUCUUGAAGACCACAAAGUGACUCUCCUCAAAUUAACCACUCUUAGGCUGUCUGUGUUAUGUGCAUGUCCCAGAGGCCACCUGCCAUGAGUGUCCAUUGGCUGAUUGCCCAGCAGGACAGCUGCAGCUUCAAGGCCUCCAGGAUACCAGGUCAGCAAUGUUGCAGAGAGAGGCCAGCAAGCCAGGCUCAUGGCUCCUGUUGCUAGCAUGUGCUCAUGACCCUGCGGAAGAGAACAAAAAUGACCAGAGGCUACAAAUCUGGGCAUGCAAAGAGAGCGCUGGACAGGGCUGCUAAGGUCGAUGAAGAACACAGACUAGAGCCAAUACCCACAGACAUCAGAGAACUUGGAAUAGAGACUGGCAACCCAUCGCUCACCAUGAACCCAGAUUUCUUCAAACCUCCUGGCCAUCAUCGUGAGCCGUGGUCCAGCAGGUACCACACGCAGAAGCUCUGCCUUCUGAGAGCUUGUGUCCACUGGGUCUACUGUUUGCUGCUGCUGAGAACACAGGUCUACUCUGCGUGGCAGACAUUCAGAAACGUGAUUUCGCAAUUCUCCAGUG